AUGACCAUCCAUCAUUCGCUGCACCCUCGCAGUGAUGUUGACCGGCUCUAUCUGCCUAGAAGAUCAGGGGGCAGAGGACUCUUGCAAGUCAAACAAGCAGUCAAAGAAGAAGAACCUGCCCUGGCAGAAUAUGGAAAGCAAAGUGAAGAACCUGCUUUGAUUGAAGUCAAAAAUCAGAAACUCCUCAAAGCACAGCAGACAAAAAACCAGUACAAGAAAACCGCACUACAAACUAGAGCUGACAGCUGGCACAACAAAACAUUGCAUGGGAAGUUCCUUGACAAAAUUAAAGGAAAAGCUGAUAAGGAGAAGACCUGGCUCUGGCUCACGAAUGGGACCCUGAAGAAGGAGACAGAAGGCCUGAUCCUUGCAGCCCAGGAGCAAGACAUCAGGACAAAGGCAAUUCAGGCCAAGAUCGAAAAAUCAGCUGAUGACCCAAAAUGCAGACUGUGCAAGGAAACCGACGAAACCAUUGAUCAUAUCCUCAGCUGCUGUAAGAAAAUCGCACAGACAGACUACAAACAGAGGCACAACUAUGUGGCCCAAAUGAUUCAUUGGAACCUAUGCCUCAAGUACGACCUGCCAGCAGCAAAGAACUGGUGGGAUCACAAACCUGCAAAAGUAUUGGAAAAUGAGAACGCAAAGAUACUGUGGGACUUCCGAAUCCAGACUGACAAAGUUCUGGAACACAACACACCAGACAUCACAGUUGUGGAAAAGGAAAAGGUUUGGAUCAUUGAUGUUGCCAUCCCAGGUGACAGUCGCAUUGAUGAAAAACAACAGGAAAAACUCAGCCGCUAUCAGGACCUCAAGAGUGAACUUCAAAGACUCUGGCAGAAACCAGUGCAGGUGGUCCCGGUGGUGAUGGGCACACUGGGUGCCGUGCCAAAAGAUCUUAGCCGGCAUUUGGAAACAAUAGACAUUGACAAAAUUACGAUCUGCCAACUGCAAAAGGCCACCCUACUGGGAUCUGUUCGCAUCAUCCAAAAAUACAUCAUACAGUCCUAG
rnacentral:lncRNA from 1 species